rnacentral:rRNA from 1 species
UCACUUUCAACAACGGAUCUCUUGGCUCUCGCAUCGAUGAAGAACGUAGCGAAGUGCGAUAAGUAAUGUGAAUUGCAAAUUCUGUGAAUCAUCGAAUCUUGAACGCAAAUUGCACUCUCUUCGGAGAGUAUGCCUGUUUGAGGGCCAGU